CGUAAACAAAGAGAAGCGAAAGGGCGACCUGGAGCAAACCUCAAAAAUAACGUCUCAGUUCGGACUGCAGGCUGCAACCCGCCUGCACGAAGCCGGAAUCGCUAGUAAUCGCGGAUCAGAAUGCCGCGGUGAAUACGUUCCCGGGUCUUGUACACACCGCCCGUCACACCAUGGGAGUCAGUAACGCCCGAAGUCAGUGACCCAACCUGAAAGGGAGGGAGCUGCCGAAGGCGGGACGGAUAACUGGGGUGAAGUCGUAACAAGGUACC
rnacentral:rRNA from 1 species